CCUACGGGUGGCAGCAGUGAGGAAUAUUGGUCAAUGGGCGAGAGCCUGAACCAGCCAAGUCGCGUGAGGGAGUACUGCCCUAUGGGUUGUAAACCUCUUUUGUCGGGGAGCAAAAGCCGGACGUGUCCGGCUGUGAGAGUACCCGAAGAAAAAGCAUCGGCUAACUCCGUUCCCGCAGCCGCGGUAAUACGGAGGAUGCGAGGGUUUUCCGGAUUUAUUGGGUUAAAAGGGUGCGCAGGCGGAUUUUUAAGUUAGCGGUCAAAUUGUGGGGUCAAACCCCCUCCGGCCGUUGAAACUGGGGAUCUAGAGUGUGCGAGAGGUAUGCGGAAUGCGUGGUGUAGCGGUGAAAUGCAUAGAUAUCACGCAGAACCCCGAUUGCGAAGGCAGCAUACCGGUGCACAACUGACGCUCAGGCACGAAAGCGUGGGUAUCGAACAGGAUUAGAUACCCUUGUAGUC
rnacentral:rRNA from 1 species